UCCCUGAUAGCUUAGUUGGUAAAGAAUCUGCCUGCAAUGCAGAAGACCCCAGUUCAAUUUCUGGGUCAGGAAG
rnacentral:tRNA from 1 species